UGGGAAGAGGGCACGGUCGCGGGCGGCCAUGCCUGAGGAAAGUCCGGGCACCACAGGGCAGGAUGCCAGCUAACGGCUGGGCGGGGUAACCCGACGGAAAGUGCAACAGAAAGCAAACCGCCAGGUGCGCCCCGUGGCGCAUCCGGUAAGGGUGAAACGGUGCGGUAAGAGCGCACCAGUCCCUCUGGCAACAGGGGGAGCUCGGCAAACCCCAUCCGGUGCAAGUCCCGUAAGCCCAGCAGGGAGGGUUGGCCCGACCCGGUAGCACCGCUGGUAGGGACGCUAGAGGUGGUUGGCGACAGCCAUCCCAGAGAGAUGACCGUGGAAACAGAACCCGGCUUACGCCUCUUCCCACAGC
rnacentral:RNase_P_RNA from 1 species